AUCGGGUGAAUCGUCCCGAUCACAUUGUCAUUAUUCUUCGUGGUCUUCCAGGUAGUGGGAAGAGCUACCUGGCAAAAAUGUUGCGUGACCUAGAGGUUGAAAAUGGUGGUAAUGUGCCACGGAUACAUUCCAUGGAUGAUUAUUUCAUGACUGAAGUUGAAAAGGUUGAAGAGAGUGAGUUUCCGAAGCCAUCUGGUUCUGCUAGAGGGAAAA